GGGGAUGUGGCUCAAUGGUAGAGUGUUUGCCUACCAUACAUGAUGCCUUGGUUUCCAUCCCCA
rnacentral:tRNA from 1 species